GACGAACGCUGGCGGCGUGCCUAAUACAUGCAAGUUGAGCGCUGAAGGUUGGUACUUGUACCAACUGGAUGAGCAGCGAACGGGUGAGUAACGCGUGGGGAAUCUGCCUUUGAGCGGGGGACAACAUUUGGAAACGAAUGCUAAUACCGCAUAAAAACUUUAAACACAAGUUUUAAGUUUGAAAGAUGCAAUUGCAUCACUCAAAGAUGAUCCCGCGUUGUAUUAGCUAGUUGGUGAGGUAAAGGCUCACCAAGGCGAUGAUACAUAGCCGACCUGAGAGGGUGAUCGGCCACAUUGGGACUGAGACACGGCCCAAACUCCUACGGGAGGCAGCAGUAGGGAAUCUUCGGCAAUGGACGAAAGUCUGACCGAGCAACGCCGCGUGAGUGAAGAAGGAUUUCGGAUCGUAAAACUCUGUUGGUAGAGAAGAACGUUGGUGAGAGUGGAAAGCUCAUCAAGUGACGGUAACUACCCAGAAAGGGACGGCUAACUACGUG
rnacentral:rRNA from 1 species